rnacentral:rRNA from 1 species
GACGAACGCUGGCGGCGUGCUUAACACAUGCAAGUCGAACGGAAAGGCCCCUUUGGGGGUACUCGAGUGGCGCACGGGUGAGUAACACGUGAGUAACCUGCCCUUGACUUCGGGAUAACUUCAGGAAACUGGGGCUAAUACCGGAUAGGAAUCCUUGCUGCAUGGUGGGGGUUGGAAAGCUUCGGCGGUUUUGGAUGGACUCGCGGCUUAUCAGCUUGUUGGUGGGGUAGUGGCUUACCAAGGCUUUGACGGGUAGCCGGCCUGAGAGGGCGACCGGCCACCUUGGGACUGAGAUACGGCCCAGACUCCUACGGGAGGCAGCAGUGGGGAAUAUUGCACAAUGGGCGGAAGCCUGAUGCAGCAACGCCGCGUGCGGGAUGACGGCCUUCGGGUUGUAAACCGCUUUCAGCAGGGGCGAAGCUUGUGGUGACGGUACCUGCAGAAGAAGCACCGGCUAACUACGUG